rnacentral:lncRNA from 1 species
AGUUCUAACAUCAUGUCUACCACUAAAAUCCUAUGAAAAUUUGGAAAAGUCACUUUACUUGGAGGGCCUUAUUUACCUUCUCUGUAACGUGAGAAAUUCAGGCUAAUUGCUUUCCAAGGGCCUUCUGGCCUUGGCAGGUAUUACUGCAUAAUUUUUCAGGUCUCUGGGCUCAUAAUUAGCAUUUAUGAAGUGUUUACUAUGUGCCAGGACCCUGUGAGCACUUUACCUGGAUGAUGUCCUUUCAUACCAAUAGUGGCAGUCGUUCCCACAGACAGUUCAUUUUACAGAAGGAAAAACUGAGGUGCAGGGAAGUGGGAGGAUGCACUGAAGGCCCUUCCUUCAAGAGUUGCCUCAAGGAGAGAGUAAAGCCAUCAGAGCAAAUGAAGAAGGAGUGGAUGGAUGGAUAAAUACCUAGGCAGAAAGUACAUAUGCAAGAAAACUGGGGAAAUGCAUGCCAGACUGCUCACAGUGGAACACAAGGAGAGAACAGUAGGUUGAUUGUGGGAAAAGAAGAGCUUCGCUUUUCUUGUUCAAUGCACUUCUUGUUUACUAAAUUAUUUAAAUAAUGUGUAUAUAUUCCUAAUUAAAAGACA